rfam:Myotis lucifugus cont2.24815, whole genome shotgun sequence.
GGCAGUUCUCAGGUUAUGCACCCCGUAAUUGGGCUCCCUCCUCUCUGGUUCCAGGGUGCGUCACCCGAGGACCACA